UACAGAGGGUGCGAGCGUUGUUCGGAAUCAUUGGGCGUAAAGCGCUUGUAGGCGGCCUGUCAAGUCGCGUGUGAAAUCCCUUGGCUUAACCAAGGAAGUGCGCGCGAAACUGGCGGGCUUGAGUGCCGGAGAGGGUCGCGGAAUUCCCGGUGUAGAGGUGAAAUUCGUAGAUAUCGGGAGGAACACCAGUGGCGAAGGCGGCGACCUGGACGGACACUGACGCUGAGACGCGAAAGCGUGGGGAGCAAACGGG
rnacentral:rRNA from 1 species